AACGAACGCUGGCGGCAUGCCUAACACAUGCAAGUCGAACGAGACCUUCGGGUCUAGUGGCGCACGGGUGCGUAACGCGUGGGAACCUGCCCUUAGGUUCGGAAUAACUCCCCGAAAGGGGUGCUAAUACCGGAUAAUGUCUUCGGACCAAAGAUUUAUCGCCUUUGGAUGGGCCCGCGUUGGAUUAGCUAGUUGGUAGGGUAAAAGCCUACCAAGGCGACGAUCCAUAGCUGGUCUGAGAGGAUGAUCAGCCACACUGGGACUGAGACACGGCCCAGCCUCCUACGGGAGGCAGCAGUGGGGAAUAUUGGACAAUGGGCGAAAGCCUGAUCCAGCAAUGCCGGGUGAGUGAUGAAGGCCUUAGGGUUGUAAAGCUCUUUUACCCGGGGUGAUAAUGACAGUACCGGGAGAAUAAGCUCCGGCUAACUCCGUG
rnacentral:rRNA from 1 species